rnacentral:hammerhead_ribozyme from 1 species
GUACUGCUGAGGAGUCCCACAAUAGGACGAAACGGCAGUCCAGUGC